CCCUAUGACCUCAAGUUGGUCAGAGCAGAGGAAUCAUAAUCCUUGUGUCGGGGGUUCAAAUCCCUCCUCCGCUACCA
rnacentral:tRNA from 1 species